rnacentral:lncRNA from 1 species
CACGACAAUCAUAAAAAUUAAUCGAUAUUUUUUAGUAAAAAAAUAUAAAUAUAAAACAUAAAUUAACCAAUAACCUUCCUUCUCCUUAAUUGCAUUAAAAGUUAUUAAAAAAAAAUAUGUAAAUAAAAAAUACAAAAAAUUAUUUUUAGCAAAAAAGUAGAAAAUAAAUAAAACAAUUAUUGGAAUAGAAAUCAAAGAAAAAAUAAUGUAUGGUCAAUUUUAAGAAUAUAGGAGAG